rnacentral:rRNA from 1 species
GACGAACGCUGGCGGCGUGCUUAACACAUGCAAGUCGAACGGAAAGGCCCUGCUUUUGUGGGGUGCUCGAGUGGCGAACGGGUGAGUAACACGUGGGUAACCUGCCCUUGACUUUGGGAUAACUUCAGGAAACUGGGGCUAAUACCGGAUAGGAGCUCCUGCUGCAUGGUGGGGGUUGGAAAGUUUCGGCGGUUGGGGAUGGACUCGCGGCUUAUCAGCUUGUUGGUGGGGUAGUGGCUUACCAAGGCUUUGACGGGUAGCCGGCCUGAGAGGGUGACCGGCCACAUUGGGACUGAGAUACGGCCCAGAGUCCUACGGGAGGCAGCAGUGGGGAAUAUUGCACAAUGGGCGGAAGCCUGAUGCAGCAACGCCGCGUGCGGGAUGACGGCCUUCGGGUUGUAAACCGCUUUCGCCUGUGACGAAGCGUGAGUGACGGUAAUGGGUAAAGAAGCACCGGCUAACUACGUG